rnacentral:rRNA from 1 species
UACAGAGGGUGCAAGCGUUGUUCGGAAUUAUUGGGCGUAAAGAGCUCGUAGGCGGUCUGUUACGUCUGCUGUGAAAACCCAGGGCUUAACCCUGGGCUUGCAGUGGAUACGGGCAGACUAGAGGCAGGUAGGGGAGAAUGGAAUUCCCGGUGUAGCGGUGAAAUGCGCAGAUAUCGGGAGGAACACCGGUGGCGAAGGCGGUUCUCUGGGCCUGACCUGACGCUGAGGAGCGAAAGCGUGGGGAGCGAACAGG